GUGUUUGGAAUUGGAUCCAGUUGUACCGAUUUACUCCACUAUUUGCUACAAGAUUCAGCAGCUGUUCCGUGUGGGGGCCCCUGUUCCUGCUGUUCCCAGGCACCCGCUGGCAGGACAAAGCACCUUUCCCCAGGUGUGGAGAGCCAUGCCUGUAAGGCCUGUGCUGGGUGGGGCUGCUGUUGGAUGAGGUUGGGGGGUCCCUCAGGAGGAUAGAAGAAUUGUCCUGAGUUGGAGGCCAGGGAGACAGUCAUGGAAGGGAAGAGACCAGGGGCAGGCUACAGAAUAAAAAUGUAAAUGUUACUCAAUUCUGAAAGAAUAGGUCAGAACAACCCCUUUUUUAAAAACCUACUUUUAUAACCAGAUCAUCUAAGGGGGGAACAGAAAUCCGAUGCUUUGCCUCUAAGGCUCACAAAGUAACCUGUAAAGAUACUGGCCAUUCAACUGUUUUAACUCAGUCUGUGCCGUCUAUAGAAUUCCUUUAAAGCCAAAUAG
rnacentral:lncRNA from 1 species